rnacentral:rRNA from 1 species
UACGGAGGGUGCAAGCGUUGUCCGGAUUCAUUGGGUUUAAAGGGUGCGCAGGCGGGCCAUUAAGUCAGGGGUGAAAGACGGUUGCUCAACAAUCGCAGUGCCUUUGAUACUGGUGGUCUUGGGUGACCUUGAGGUAGGCGGAAUGGGUGGUGUAGCGGUGAAAUGCAUAGAUAUGACCCGGAACACCGAUUGCGAAGGCAGCCCGCUACGCAACGAUUGACGCUGAGGCACGAAAGCGUGGGGAUCAAACAGG